rnacentral:rRNA from 1 species
UACGGAGGGUGCAAGCGUUGUCCGGAAUUAUUGGGCGUAAAGAGCUCGUAGGUGGCCUGUCGCGUCGGCUGUGAAAACUCGGGGCUCAACUCCGAGCUUGCAGUCGAUACGGGCAGGCUAGAGUUCGGCAGGGGAGACUGGAAUUCCUGGUGUAGCGGUGAAAUGCGCAGAUAUCAGGAGGAACACCGGUGGCGAAGGCGGGUCUCUGGGCCGAUACUGACACUGAGGAGCGAAAGCGUGGGGAGCGAACAGG